GAGGGUAUAGUUCAGUGGUAGAUCAUGUGCCUGGCAUGCAUGAGGUCCCAGGUUCAAUCCCCAGUGCCUCCA
rnacentral:tRNA from 1 species